UUUGAGACUUCAAUACUUCAUUUAAUCUUUAAUUGUUGACUUUGUCUUUGUUACACACUGCACACAAUAACACGAUAUAACACCUGGCAACGUAAACAGUCGUGCAACAUCAACUUUUCCUUCCCCCUAGUACUGGUCAACACAUUCUCCAAUUAACACAGCGCUAUAUAUCAGCUGUUCAGAUAGACGGGGGGCGUUCAACAACCCUACAGUCCACAGGUGUUUGUGAAUGGAAUAAUGUUGCACAAACGUAUCGUCAAACUUCCACUGGCCCAGGGGCUGUUUGUUUGUUUAUUAGUUUGAUUUUUCGCUCCGCUUUUUUUUUUAAUAUUUAUAUUUUCCUCCACACAUUUUGGAGAAUUUGGUUUUUAGUAAACAAAACGGCAAUAAUAAAUACAGAAAAUAUCUUAAUAGCAAAAAUUAUGAACAUGGAGAAAUAAAAUGUACAUAAGUUUGAUGAAAGGAAAUAAACUGAAUUAAAGGCCUAAACUUUUUACAUUCAAGAGUUUUCUGUGAUUUGGAGUAAGGAUCACAAUGGAUUAAGCUGAAGCUAAGAGUAGCCAAACAAACAAAUAAAAGUGGUUUAAAAUAAUCCCACAUCUUAUUUUAAGAAGCUUUUAAGAUGAUCUUUGUUUCUAAAGUUUACUUGAAGAUGUGCAAUAAACCUAUGCAGGUACAUUCAUGAAAUAUCAGUCAUAGUUAUUGACAAUAACCAAAAUUGUACAGUAGGACAGGCUGCCCAUUUCUUAUCUUAGGAAACUAAUGUUUUUUACGCAAAGUAGCGUGACAAUAUUGGUAAAGCUCUGAAAAUACAAAAAGUAUCGAAAUUAUUAUAUGGCUCACCUGAAUACAAGAGUUACAAUAAAACCGUCUUAAUGCUGAAAUGGUAUUUCAAAAGAUGUUUGACAUUCAAACCUACAAUCCGUAAAUGUAUGCCGUGAUUUUGCCGAUUCGGUAGAUAAUAAUAUUUUAAAGAUAAUGAGAUAUUGGAUUUAAAGGUUUCCAGUCUUGCUAUGCAUUUUGGGUAACUUGUUGCUAAUGCUAUGGCAUGUUGCUUUAACUACUUGACAACACACCGACUGUAACCUUUAUUUCAGAGUUAUUUAUGAUAGUAAAUAAAAGUAAAAACAAUUAAUUCGGUUUUUGGUUGCCCAGUUGUGUAUAGUUUGGUCCUUUAAAUAUGUCAAACCAUUAAUUUAAAAGAGAUUCAACCUUUCAAUGGUGUUAGUUUACUUGAUAAAAUUUCUAACAAAAUUUCAGUAACAAAAAAAGUAGGACAUUAUCAUAUGUUUAUGCCAAUAUGGUUUGUAAAACAAUACUAAUACCCCUGUAAGAUGAUUUAAGACGUCAAUUAUAAACAUAAACAGUAGCAAUGGCUAUUUUAAAUCAUGUUUACAGUGAUAGACAGAAGUUGGUUCUGUGCAACAGUUAUGGAUUGUAGGUUAGAAUUAUAUAGGAGUAAAAUAUAAAUAUACUCACUGCAGUAAAAUGGGAUAUUUUAAGCUUGAAGAUAAGUUAUAAAAAAGGAAAUGGGUGUACAGCCUCUGAUUAAAUUAAUAUAUUCCUAAAUAUUUA
ensembl:lncRNA